rnacentral:misc_RNA from 1 species
GCGUUAUGGCCCGCGCUUCAUUCCCGCAACGAUCUGAUCCGUGUCUCGCAGGAUGACUAUCAGUCCUAUCGAGAAGUGAACGCCUUCAUGGCGCGCGCGCUGAUGCGCUUCAACAAGCCGACUGCCGCGUUCUGGGUUCAGGAUUAUCACUUCCUCACGCUGGGUGCGGAGAUGCGCGAGCUUGGCGUCCGUAAUCCGCUUGGCUUCUUUCUCCAUA